rnacentral:rRNA from 1 species
CCUACGGGUGGCAGCAGUGAGGAAUAUUGGUCAAUGGACGAGAGUCUGAACCAGCCAAGUAGCGUGAAGGAUGACUGCCCUAUGGGUUGUAAACUUCUUUUAUAAAGGAAUAAAACGAGGCACGUGUGCCUUUUUGCAUGUACUUUAUGAAUAAGGAUCGGCUAACUCCGUGCCAGCAGCCGCGGUAAUACGGAGGAUCCGAGCGUUAUCCGGAUUUAUUGGGUUUAAAGGGAGCGUAGAUGGGUUGUUAAGUCAGUUGUGAAAGUUUGCGGCUCAACCGUAAAAUUGCAAUUGAUACUGGCAGUCUUGAGUACAGUUGAGGUAGGCGGAAUUCGUGGUGUAGCGGUGAAAUGCUUAGAUAUCGCGAAGAACCCCGAUUGCGAAGGCAGCUUACCAAACUGUGACUGACAUUGAUGCACGAAAGUGUGGGUAUCAAACAGGAUUAGAUACCCCAGUAGUC